GAUGACCGCUGACAGAAUGCUUAACACAUCAGCAAUUGAUUGGUGGCGGACGGGUGAGCAACGCGUAGAGACCGUGGCGCACAGCUAGGGACAACAUUAAGAAAUGAAUGCUAAUAACUGAUACUGUGAGAGAGCUUUGAGUCCCAUUAGCUAGUUGGAGAGGUCACAGCUAACAAAGGCGCUGAUGGGUAGCCGGCCUGAGAGGGUGAACGGCCACACGGCGACUGAGACACGGACGUUACUCCUACGAGAGGCAGCAGUUGGGACUAUUGGACAAUGGACCGAAGUCGGAUCAAGCAAUUCUGUGUGCACGAUUAAUUUGUCGUAAUGUAAAGUGCGUUCAGUUGGGAAGCGGUACCAAGAGAAGAAGUGACGGCUAAAGACGGGCCAGCCGCCGCGGUAAUAC
rnacentral:rRNA from 1 species